rnacentral:rRNA from 1 species
GACGAACGCUGGCGGCGUGCUUAACACAUGCAAGUCGAACGGAGUGGCGAACGGGUGAGUAACACGUGGGUGACCUGCCCUGCAAUUCGGGAUAAGCCUGGGAAACUGGGUCUACUACCGGCUAUUGUGGGCUGGGCCCGCGGCCAAUCAGCUUGUCGGUGGGGUAAUGGCCUACCAAGGCGGGGACGGGUAGCCGGCCUGAGAGGGUGGACGGCCACAAUGGGACUGAGGCACGGCGCAGAGUCCUACGAGAGGCAGCAGUGGGGAAUAUUGCACAAUGGGCGGAAGCCGUAGGCAGCGACGCCGGGUGGGGGAUGACGGGCUUCGGGUUGUAAACUCCUUUCACCAUCGACGCGGUAGAUGGAGAAGAAGCACCGGCUAACUACGUGCCAGCAGCCGCGGUAAUAC